rnacentral:rRNA from 1 species
UACGGGGGGAGCAAGCGUUGUUCGGAUUUACUGGGCGUAAAGGGCGCGUAGGCGGCCAGCGCAAGUCGGUUGUGAAAUCUCCGGGCUUAACUCGGAAAGGUCAACUGAUACUGCGCGGCUAGAGUGCAGAAGGGGCAACUGGAAUUCUCGGUGUAGCGGUGAAAUGCGUAGAUAUCGAGAGGAACACCUGCGGCGAAGGCGGCGACCUGGGCCAAUAUUGACGCUGAGGUGCGAAAGCGUGGGGAGCAAACAGG